AGGGUUUGAUCCUGGCUCAGGACGAACGCUGGCGGCGUGCUUAACACAUGCAAGUCGAACGGUGAAGCCUUUCGGGGUGGAUCAGUGGCGAACGGGUGGGUAACACGUGGGCAAUCUGCCCUGCACUCUGGGACAAGCCCUGGAAACGGGGUCUAAUACCGGAUAUGACUGUCUGCCGCAUGGUGGAUGGUGGAAAGCUCCGGCGGUGCAGGAUGAGCCCGCGGCCUAUCAGCUUGUUGGUGGGGUGAUGGCCUACCAAGGCGACGACGGGUAGCCGGCCUGAGAGGGCGACCGGCCACACUGGGACUGAGACACGGCCCAGACUCCUACGGGAGGCAGCAGUGGGGAAUAUUGCACAAUGGGCGCAAGCCUGAUGCAGCGACGCCGCGUGAGGGAUGACGGCCUUCGGGUUGUAAACCUCUUUCAGCAGGGAGGAAGCGUGAGUGACGGUACCUGCAGAAGAAGCACCGGCUAACUACGUGCCAGCAGCCGCGGUAAUACGUAGGGUGCGAGCGUUGUCCGGAAUUAUUGGGCGUAAAGAGCUCGUAGGCGGCUUGUCGUGUCGGAUGUGAAAGCCCGGGGCUUAACUCCGGGUCUGCAUUCGAUACGGGCAGGCUAGAGUUCGGUAGGGGAGAUCGGAAUUCCUGGUGUAGCGGUGAAAUGCGCAGAUAUCAGGAGGAACACCGGUGGCGAAGGCGGAUCUCUGGGCCGAUACUGACGCUGAGGAGCGAAAGCGUGGGGAGCGAACAGGAUUAGAUACCCUGGUAGUCCACGCCGUAAACGUUGGGAACUAGGUGUGGGUGACAUUCCACGUUGUCCGUGCCGCAGCUAACGCAUUAAGUUCCCCGCCUGGGGAGUACGGCCGCAAGG
rnacentral:rRNA from 1 species